CCGGACAUCUUCCUGGCCUGCACCUGCAGGUUCUCUCCUCAUUCCCCCACCCCCACGUCAACCAGUGCCUGGUGCUGGAGGACACGCCCCACGGCAUGGCGGUCGCCCGGGCAGCGGGGAUGCAGGUGGUCAUGGUGCCCAGCGUCCAGCUCGACCCCGAACUCAACGGCCGGGGCCACCCUGCUGCUGCCCUCCUUGGGUGACAUACAACCCAAGCUCUUCGGCCUGCCCGCCUUCAACUGACCUGCGGACGGACAGACAGACAGACAGAAGGACACUGGACACAAGGCCAAGACCUGACCCAUCCCAGGGCCUCCCUGACCUCUGGAAAUAAAGGGAAUGAACACAG